UAAGACAGAGGGUGCAAACGUUGUUCGGAAUUACUGGGCGUAAAGCGAGUGUAGGCGGUCUGAAAAGUCGGGUGUGAAAGCCCCGGGCUCAACCCGGGAAGUGCACUCGAAACUGCCAGGCUAGAGUAUCGGAGAGGUUGGUGGAAUUCUCGGUGUAGAGGUGAAAUUCGUAGAUAUCGAGAGGAACACCGGUGGCGAAGGCGGCCAACUGGACGAAUACUGACGCUGAGACUCGAAAGCGUGGGGAGCAAACAGGAUUAGAUACCCUGGUAGUCCACGCCGUAAACGAUGGGUGCUAGGUGCUGCGGGCUUUGACUCCCGCUGUGCCGUAGCUAACGCGUUAAGCACCCCGCCUGGGAAGUACGGCCGCAAGGCUAAAACUCAAAGGAAUUGACGG
rnacentral:rRNA from 1 species